GUCUAUGGCCAUGACACCCUGAACCUGCCCAAUCUCAUCUGAUCUCGAAAGCUAAGCAGGAUCAGGCCUGGUUAGUACAUGGUUGGGAGACCACCUAGGAAGACCAGGUGCUUCUAGGUU
ensembl:rRNA 5S_rRNA 5S ribosomal RNA